rnacentral:rRNA from 1 species
AUACGUAGGGUGCAAGCGUUAAUCGGAAUUACUGGGCGUAAAGCGUGCGCAGGCGGUUUUGUAAGACAGUGGUGAAAUCCCCGGGCUCAACCUGGGAACUGCCAUUUUGACUGCAAGGCUGGAGUGCGGCAGAGGGGGAUGGAAUUCCGCGUGUAGCAGUGAAAUGCGUAGAUAUGCGGAGGAACACCGAUGGCGAAGGCAAUCCCCUGGGCCUGCACUGACGCUCAUGCACGAAAGCGUGGGGAGCAAACAGGAUUAGAUACCCUGGUAGUCCACGCCCUAAACGAUGUCAACUGGUUGUUGGGUCUUCAUUGACUCAGUAACGAAGCUAACGCGUGAAGUUGACCGCCUGGGGAGUACGGCCGCAAGGUUGAAACUCAAAUGAAUUGACGGG